CCCUAGCCCAGAUAGAAACGGGUACCCCGCAACAUUGGGUUGGAGAGAGAAAGGGUUUGAGCGCUGGAGUGCGCCGGCGUGAGGAGUAUGAGUGGAUAGCUGGAUUAAGC
rnacentral:misc_RNA from 1 species